AUCCGGGAUUUAUUGGGUUUAAAGGGUCCGUAGGCGGAUCAGUAAGUCAGUGGUGAAAUCUCAUAGCUUAACUAUGAAACUGCCAUUGAUACUGCUGGUCUUGAGUAAGGUAGAAGUAGCUGGAAUAAGUAGUGUAGCGGUGAAAUGCAUAGAUAUUACUUAGAACACCAAUUGCGAAGGCAGGUUACUAUGUCUUAACUGACGCUGAUGGACGAAAGCGUGGGGAGCGAACAGGAUUAGAUACCCUGGUAGUCCACGCUGUAAACGAUGCUAACUCGUUUUUGGGUUUUCGGAUUCAGAGACUAAGCGAAAGUGAUAAGUUAGCCACCUGGGGAGUACGAACGCAAGUUUGAAACUCAAAGGAAUUGACGGGGGCCCGCACAAGCGGUGGAUUAUGUGGUUUAAUUCGAUGAUACGCGAGGAACCUUACCAAGGCUUAAAUGGGAAUUGAUCGGUUUAGAAAUAGACCUUCCUUCGGGCAAUUUUCAAGGUGCUGCAUGGUUGUCGUCAGCUCGUGCCGUGAGGUGUUAGGUUAAGUCCUGCAACGAGCGCAACCCCUGUCACUAGUUGCCAUCAUUAAGUUGGGGACUCUAGUGAGACUGCCUACGCAAGUAGAGAGGAAGGUGGGGAUGACGUCAAAUCAUCACGGCCCUUACGCCUUGGGCCACACACGUAAUACAAUGGCCGGUACAGAGGGCAGCUACACAGCGAUGUGAUGCAAAUCUCGAAAGCCGGUCUCAGUUCGGAUUGGAGUCUGCAACUCGACUCUAUGAAGCUGGAAUCGCUAGUAAUCGCGCAUCAGCCAUGGCGCGGUGAAUACGUUCCCGGGCCUUGUACACACC
rnacentral:rRNA from 1 species